rnacentral:rRNA from 1 species
GAUGAACGCUGGCGGCGCGCCUAAUACAUGCAAGUCGAGCGAGAAGACGUAGCAAUACGUUUGUAAAGCGGCGAACGGGUGAGGAAUACAUGGGUAACCUACCCUCGAGUGGGGAAUAACUAGCCGAAAGGUUAGCUAAUACCGCGUACGCUUCUUGGACUUCGGCUCAGGGAGGAAAGCGAUACCGUGGGUAUCGCGCUCUUGGAUGGGCUCAUGUCCUAUCAGCUUGUUGGGAGGUAACGGCUCACCAAGGCUUCGACGGGUAGCUGGUCUGAGAGGACGAUCAGCCACACUGGCACUGCGACACGGGCCAGACUCCUACGGGAGGCAGCAGUAAGGAAUAUUGCGCAAUGGGCGAAAGCCUGACGCAGCGACGCCGCGUGGGGGAUGAGGGUCUUCGGAUUGU